rnacentral:rRNA from 1 species
UACGAAGGGGGCUAGCGUUGCUCGGAAUCACUGGGCGUAAAGCGCACGUAGGCGGAUCGCUAAGUCAGGGGUGAAAUCCUGGAGCUCAACUCCAGAACUGCCUUUGAUACUGAAGAUCUUGAGUCCGGGAGAGGUGAGUGGAACUGCGAGUGUAGAGGUGAAAUUCGUAGAUAUUCGCAAGAACACCAGUGGCGAAGGCGGCUCACUGGCCCGGUACUGACGCUGAGGCACGAAAGCGUGGGGAGCAAACAGG